rnacentral:rRNA from 1 species
GCGCUUACCAUGCAAGUCGAGCGGGGGAGGUUGCUUCGGUAACUGACCUAGCGGCGGACGGGUGAGUAAUACUUAGGAAUCUGCCUAUUAAUGGGGGACAACAUCUCGAAAGGGAUGCUAAUACCGCAUACGCCCUACGGGGGAAAGCAGGGGAUCACUUGUGACCUUGCGUUAAUAGAUGAGCCUAAGUCGGAUUAGCUAGUUGGUGGGGUAAAGGCCUACCAAGGCGACGAUCUGUAGCGGGUCUGAGAGGAUGAUCCGCCACACUGGGACUGAGACACGGCCCAGACUCCUACGGGAGGCAGCAGUGGGGAAUAUUGGACAAUGGGGGGAACCCUGAUCCAGCCAUGCCGCGUGUGUGAAGAAGGCCUUAUGGUUGUAAAGCACUUUAAGCGAGGAGGAGGCUCUUUUGGUUAAUACCCAAGAUGAGUGGACGUUACUCGCAGAAUAAGCACCGGCUAACUCUGUGCCAGCAGCCGCGGUAAUACAGAGGGUGCGAGCGUUAAUCGGAUUUACUGGGCGUAAAGCGUGCGUAGGCGGCUUUUUAAGUCGGAUGUGAAAUCCCCGAGCUUAACUUGGGAAUUGCAUUCGAUACUGGGAAGCUAGAGUAUGGGAGAGGAUGGUAGAAUUCCAGGUGUAGCGGUGAAAUGCGUAGAGAUCUGGAGGAAUACCGAUGGCGAAGGCAGCCAUCUGGCCUAAUACUGACGCUGAGGUACGAAAGCAUGGGGAGCAAACAGGAUUAGAUACCCUGGUAGUCCAUGCCGUAAACGAUGUCUACUAGCCGUUGGGGUCUUUGAGACUUUAGUGGCGCAGCUAACGCGAUAAGUAGACCGCCUGGGGAGUACGGUCGCAAGACUAAAACUCAAAUGAAUUGACGGGGGCCCGCACAAGCGGUGGAGCAUGUGGUUUAAUUCGAUGCAACGCGAAGAACCUUACCUGGUCUUGACAUAGUAAGAACUUUCCAGAGAUGGAUUGGUGCCUUCGGGAACUUACAUACAGGUGCUGCAUGGCUGUCGUCAGCUCGUGUCGUGAGAUG